rnacentral:rRNA from 1 species
GACGAACGCUGGCGGCGUGCUUAACACAUGCAAGUCGAACGGUGAAGCGCCUUCCUUUUUGGUGGGUGUGGAUGAGUGGCGAACGGGUGAGUAACACGUGAGUAACCUGCCCCCUUCUUCUGGAUAACCGCAUGAAAGUGUGGCUAAUACGGGAUAUUCUGGGUCUGUCGCAUGAUGGGUCUGGGAAAGAUAUUGUUUCGGUGGGGGAUGGGCUCGCGGCCUAUCAGCUUGUUGGUGGGGUGAUGGCCUACCAAGGCGGUGACGGGUAGCCGGCCUGGGAGGGUGGCCGGUCACACUGGGACUGCGACACGGCCCAGACUCCUACGGGAGGCAGCAGUGGGGAAUAUUGCACAAUGGGCGCAAGCCUGAUGCAGCGACGCCGCGUGAGGGAUGGAGGCCUUCGGGUUGUGAACCUCUUUCGCCAGUGAAGCAGGCCUGCCUCGUUUGUGGGUGGGUUGACGGUAGCUGGAUAAGAAGCGCCGGCUAACUACGUG